rnacentral:rRNA from 1 species
ACUCAAAGGAAUAGACGGGGACCCGCACAAGCGGUGGAGCAUGUGGUUUAAUUCGAAGCAACGCGAAGAACCUUACCUAAACUUGACAUCCCGGAGACCGGGACUUAAUCGUCCCUUUCCUAGCUUGCUAGGACUACGGUGACAGGUGGUGCAUGGUUGUCGUCAGCUCGUGUCGUGAGAUGUUGGGUUAAGUCCCGCAACGAGCGCAACCCUUAUCUUUAGUAGCCAUCAUUUAGUUGGGCACUCUAGAGAGACUGCCAAGGAUAACUUGGAGGAAGGUGGGGAUGACGUCAAAUCAUCAUGCCCCUUAUGUUUAGGGCUACACACGUGCUACAAUGGCUGCUACAAAGGGAAGCAAAAUCGCAAGACGUAGCAAACCUCAAAAAAGCAGUCCCAGUUCGGAUUGUAGUCUGCAACUCGACUACAUGAAGUUGGAAUCGCUAGUAAUCGCGAAUCAGAAUGUCGCGGUGAAUACGUUCCCGGGUCUUGCACACACCGCCCGU